GGGCUGGCAUCGCCAGGAGGAAGUCUUAAGGACUUUUCAGUGCCAGGAAUUGCUGAUUUUCAUGAACCCAAGUGGCCAGGGCUAGAUGACGUCUAGACAUCUGUGCUUGUCAUAUGACCUGACAGUUGGCACCAGAACAGUGCCCCGGGGGAAGAAAGGAGGAACUUAGCAAGGGCCUGCUCAUUGGUGGGCUUUGAAAAGGCCAGCCAGAGGUCUAGGAGGUGGAUUCUGAGAAGCUGUCAGCUUGGGGCUCCUGCAUCCUGUACUGCCAUGUCUAACAUCACAAAAAUGAAUAGGAUUGGGCUUAUUCAACCUGGAAAGGGAUGUCUGCCUAUCCUACAAGAGUCACUCAGAGCAAGAUGUCUGAACAGUAGAGUGAGAACCUCUAAAAAUCUGCUCCUCCUUGAAAACAAUGAGAACUCUGGCACAAAUGAUCAAAAUCAACUUUUCUAGAACUCUGGAAAUUAACCAAAAGCUUGCAACAGAAAUUAACCAAAAUUUUGCAACAAUCCAAGGAGUUUUAUUAAAAAACCUGCUGACUCUUGGUAAGAACAGUGAGUUUUGUGGGGUUUGGACUUGACCUAUUCCCCAUCUCUUUCUUUCCAGAUCCAUGGUAGUCUUGAGAACCAGCAGCCUUAAAGCAAUCAGAUGGGGCAGACAAGGUUUGGAGAUCCUCAAAGAGCUCAAUUCCCAGAUAAUUGUUACUACUUGACCUGUCUAGCAGCUCCCUGGAAAAAGACCACUCACAGUAUUUGCUUUUAUUUGACCUGGCUCAGAGUUCAGUCAGU
rnacentral:lncRNA from 10 species